AGUGAACGCUGGCGGUAGGCCUAACACAUGCAAGUCGAACGGCAGCACAGGAGAGCUUGCUCUCUGGGUGGCGAGUGGCGGACGGGUGAGGAAUACAUCGGAAUCUACUCUGUCGUGGGGGAUAACGUAGGGAAACUUACGCUAAUACCGCAUACGACCUACGGGAGAAAGCAGGGGACCUUCGGGCCUUGCGCGAUUGAAUGAGCCGAUGUCGGAUUAGCUAGUUGGCGGGGUAAAGGCCCACCAAGGCGACGAUCCGUAGCUGGUCUGAGAGGAUGAUCAGCCACACUGGAACUGAGACACGGUCCAGACUCCUACAGGAGGCAGCAGUGGGGAAUAUUGGACAAAGGGCGCAAGCCUGAUCCAGCCAUACCGCGUGGGUGAAGAAGGCCUUCGGGUUGUAAAGCCCUUUUGUUGGGAAAGAAAUCCAGCUGGCUAAUACCCGGUUGGGAUGACGGUACCCAAAGAAUAAGCACCGGCUAACUUCGUGCCAGCAGCCGCAGUAA
rnacentral:rRNA from 1 species